rnacentral:rRNA from 1 species
AUUGAACGCUGGCGGCAGGCCUAACACAUGCAAGUCGAGCGGUAGAGAGGUGCUUGCAUCUCUUGAGAGCGGCGGACGGGUGAGUAAUGCCUAGGAAUCUGCCUAGUGGUGGGGGAUAACGUUCGGAAACGGACGCUAAUACCGCAUACGUCCUACGGGAGAAAGCGGGGGGAUCUUCGGACCUCGCGCCAUUAGAUGAGCCUAGGUCGGAUUAGCUAGUUGGUGAGGUAAUGGCUCACCAAGGCGACGAUCCGUAACUGGUCUGAGAGGAUGAUCAGUCACACUGGAACUGAGACACGGUCCAGACUCCUACGGGAGGCAGCAGUGGGGAAUAUUGGACAAUGGGCGAAAGCCUGAUCCAGCCAUGCCGCGUGUGUGAAGAAGGUCUUCGGAUUGUAAAGCACUUUAAGUUGGGAGGAAGGGUAGUAACCUAAUACGUUGCUACUUUGUACGUUACCGACAGAAUAAGCACCGGCUAACUUCGUGCCAGCA